GGCAGAACAUUUGAGAAAAUUUCGAAAAUCUGGAGUCUCUACACUCUAAAAACACUCUGGUUAAAUUUGGGUUAAUUCAACCAGGAUGGGGUUAAAAAUCUACCUACACAAUCCUUGUUAAAAAAAAUAAACCAUUUUCCUGGUUAAAAGUCCAAAGAAGUAUGGCCAGAUUUUUGUUGAAUCAAUAAUUUUUAACCAGGAAAUUAGUUAAUUUAACCAGGAAUGUGCUAGGUAGUUUAUUGAUCCAGUUCCUGGUUGAAUUUAACCAGAGUGUUUUUAGAGUGUAGAUGGUCUGAAAUGGCA